rnacentral:piRNA from 1 species
UUCCAUUGGCUGAUGGGCUAACCCCUCUGU